AAGCUGGUCUCAAAUUCCUGGGCAUCCUCCUGCCUCAGCCUCUUGAGUGCUGGGGUUACAAGCAUGCGGACCAUCACACUGGGCUUCUAAAUAUCUUUUUUUUUUUUUUUUUUUGGUACCUGGGAUCGAACUUGUGAGGUAUUCGGCAGAACCACCAAGCUAAAUCCCCGGCCCUUCUAAAUAUCUUUUGUGUCCUCUAACACCUCAUCAUCCCAGCACAAAGGACUGUGAUGAGCUAAACUGUGUGUGGCCUCAAAUUCACAUGUUGAAGUCUCAACACUCAGCACCAGACUUCUGGGAAGAUGGCAGAGUGGUGAACAGCAGAGAAACAGCCUCUGUGAGAUUUGGUGUCCAGAUGCUGGAACAUGGUAACGUGUGAAAGAGAAGGAGAGAAAUGGGUCCCUGGGACCCAGCAAGGAUCUGAAGCAAGAAUUGAAGCCCAUGAGGAGAGUGAAGAGAGAGAUCUCAAUGCAGAAGAAAGAGAUGCCAAGUAACACUUUCUCCCUGAGCCCUGACUCACUGUGUGGGAGAGGUGGCUUGAUCCUACAAAUGCACAGUGACUACUGAUGACACCAGAAGUCUCCUUGGAGAAACAUGCCAAUGGAAGGGAGCAAUGGAUGCAGCAGACUGCAGUGGUUGCUGAGUUAUUCAGGUUGAGACGCACUCCCAGGAGAGGACUAUUGCCUGGUAGCUGUCUUGGAGAGGCCAAAUGAGCUCAGAACUCAGAGCAGCUUCGGGAUGGCUCUAUCUAGCAGCUCCCAGUGUCAGAGUGAGGUGGAACCAAGUUCAAGUUGGCAGAAGGUCAAGGAGCUGAGUUUAGGCUGGCAGGGAGUCAAUUUCAAGCUGUCAGGAGGCACAUGGAGUGUUGUAGGCUGAAUAAAUCAGGUUCCAGCCUCACUGCCAGAAAGCAGCCUGAACUUCAGUGGAAUGAAAAGUGCAGGCUUGCUGGGAUUAUCCACUACCCCACCAUAAUUCUACAGCUGGCUUACUGGGAUUAAUCAACACAAAUCUGGGCUCUGUCUACUAGUGACAGUAAAGACAUGCCCUGAACUGGAGAUUUUUUUCCCUUCUUUUUUUCUUUUGUUUUGUUUUUUCUUGUUUGUUCUUAUUUUUAUAUAAAUGUGAACAUCGUUUCUAGUA